UGGGGAAUAUUGGACAAUGGGCGAAAGCCUGAUCCAGCCAUGCCGCGUGUGUGAAGAAGGUCUUCGGAUUGUAAAGCACUUUAAGUUGGGAGGAAGGGCAGUAAAUUAAUACUUUGCUGUUUUGACGUUACCGACAGAAUAAGCACCGGCUAACUCUGUGCCAGCAGCCGCGGUAAUACAGAGGGUGCAAGCGUUAAUCGGAAUUACUGGGCGUAAAGCGCGCGUAGGUGGUUCGUUAAGUUGGAUGUGAAAUCCCGGGCUCACCUG
rnacentral:rRNA from 1 species